rnacentral:rRNA from 1 species
GCUAAUACCGCAUAAGCGCACAGCUUCGCAUGAAGCAGUGUGAAAAACUCUGGUGGUAUACGAUGGAUCCGCGUCUGAUUAGCUAGUUGGCGGGGUAAAGGCCCACCAAGGCGACGAUCAGUAGCCGGCCUGAGAGGGUGAACGGCCACAUUGGGACUGAGACACGGCCCAAACUCCUACGGGAGGCAGCAGUGGGGAAUAUUGCACAAUGGGGGAAACCCUGAUGCAGCGACGCCGCGUGAGUGAAGAAGUAUUUCGGUACGUAAAGCUCUAUCAGCAGGGAAGAAAAUGACGGUACCUGACUAAGAAGCCCCGGCUAACUACGUGCCAGCAGCCGCGGUAAUACGUAGGGGGCAAGCGUUAUCCGGAUUUACUGGGUGUAAAGGGAGCGUAGACGGCAGCGCAAGUCUGGAGUGAAAUCCCAUGGCUUAACCAUGGAACUGCUUUGGAAACUGUGCAGCUAGAGUGCAGGAGAGGUAAGCGGAAUUCCUAGUGUAGCGGUGAAAUGCGUAGAUAUUAGGAGGAACACCAGUGGCGAAGGCGGCUUACUGGACUGUAACUGACGUUGAGGCUCGAAAGCGUGGGGAGCAAACAGGAUUAGAUACCCUGGUAGUCCACGCUGUAAACGAUGAUUUACUAGGUGU